GGCUCAGAACGAACGCUGGCGGCGCGUUUAAGCAUGCAAGUCGAGCGGCAAGGGCCUUCGGGCCCCUAGAGCGGCGGACGGGUGAGUAACACGUGGACAAUCUGCCCCCCGGCCCGGGAUAGCCCAGGGAAACCUGGAUUAAUACCGGAUGAGACGGGACCCGCGAUGGCGGGAUCCGGGAAAGGCGCUGCGGCGCCGCCGGGGGAUGAGUCUGCGUCCCAUUAGCUAGACGGCGGGGUAACGGCCCACCGUGGCGACGAUGGGUAGCCGGCCUGAGAGGGUGGACGGCCACAUUGGAACUGAGACACGGUCCAGACUCCUACGGGGGGCAGCAGCUAAGAAUCUUCCGCAAUGGGCGAAAGCCUGACGGAGCCGACGCCGCGUGAACGAAGAAGGCCGUGAGGUUGUAAAGUUCUUUUCGGGAGGGGGAACAACCGUGGCAGGGAAUGGCCGCGGGAUGACGUGAAUCCCGGAAUAAGCCCCGGCUAACUACGUGCCAGCAGCCGC
rnacentral:rRNA from 1 species